UGGCAACACUGGCCAAACUCACUAGUCUCCCAACUGCUUGUUUACUGAUCGUUCUACCUCAUGACACCCUAUUGGGAAAAACAGAUCUACCUUCUUCACUUGAACUCUAUACCUGGCUUCUGAGUCCAUUUGCCAUGAACCCAUUUAAAACCUGAAUGAACUUUCCAAUUAAUUAUUUUCUAAGGACGUGAUUGUCUUCAUUACUCAGGAAUAUAAAAAGGAAGUUUAGUUGAUUAAAAUGUUUCCAGGCUGAGGAACAUUGUGUUGUGUUAGUCUCGUAUUGUCCAGUGUGGCUUGCAGGCCUGCAGACGUGACCUGGGAUGAAGCCUGUAGCAGGCUCCCAAAAAGUCCCUAAAUAACAGUCUUUUAAAUGAGAACAGGCAGCUCUGAGAAGAACUUGUUCGAUUCGGCACCACUGCUGUUUUGCCCGCUGACCUGGACUUUUGCAAGCCCAAGUUCAUCCUUCCUCUUCAAAGGCCUGGCUCUGAGCUGAUCACACAUUUUCCUUGAUGACAAAUUAAUCAAACUUGAUUUCUUGGAUGAGAUGGAUACAAAAGAACUACAACUCCCCAAGGCCCGAAAGUCAAUACAGCCCUUCUGGCUCUGAUUAGAGUAACAAAAGGAUAUCUGAGAGGCAUCUUCCUCCCGCUUGCGGCUGUGGGACGAGCUGAAAGCCAGCCGAGCUUGUAAAGGAGAAAGGCCUUAUUAAAACACAUUUCAGCUGCGACCCAGUGAACGGCGAGCCCCCCUGACAGAGAAAAUGACUUCUUAGUAGAUGCUCACCUUUACUCAAGAGCAAAGUUUCCGCUUAAAAAGACCAAGAGGAAGUAGUAUAUUAUGAAUCUGAAAUGUUUAUAGAUCUCCCCUUUUAUGUUUCUGCUGUGAAGAUGAGGUUAAAAAAGAAAGAAAGAAAUCCGUCUGUGAUAUCUGGCAAAUGUUAGAUAUAGCCCUGAGUUUGGAUAAGGAAAUUGACUUCUACCUGGUUAGAAAGGAAAUUCCCCAAGUCCGGGGGAUUUAUGUACCUGUGAAAGCAGGCCUAAGACAAGGUAAAGGAAUGGGCUUCAAAAUGCAAUUGCUGUGGGUCUGCUCUGACAACCCACUCAAGGGAGAGAGCGAGAGAAGCAUUCUGCUAAAUCGGGGAGCACAGGAUUUCAACGCAAACCCCUCUUAGCAGCUUUGUCAUCCGCCUGUUCUGUGGGGCAUCCAAGGACACUGCUCGCAUCCUUCUUGUGAUUGCUCUGCCUUCUAAAUUUAGAAGAAUUGCUGUUGCACAAAAUAUGGUCCCCUGACUGUCCUGGGCCAGUUUUACGCUUUCCCCAAAAUACCUUCACAAAAUAAAGGGUUCAUACCUCGAGAUCACAAUUUUGAAAAGAGGUCUGGGAAGGUUUUUUCCCUCCUCCCCUGUAGUAAUGGAGGCAACACACACACAUCUACACACUGUUGGUUCCCCUUCUAUAAGUUUGUAGGGUCUGCUGGCCCACAGCCCCAGUGUCGACUGAUGGUUGCUACAUGUGGGCAGAGUGAAGUGGGGUCAUGUGGGACC
ensembl:lncRNA